rnacentral:rRNA from 1 species
GACAGCAGCAGCCGCGGGAAUACGAAGGGGGCUAGCGUUGUUCGGAUUUACUGGGCGUAAAGGGCGCGUAGGCGGACUGAUAAGUCAGGGGUGAAAUCCCAAGGCUCAACCUUGGAACUGCCUUAGAUACUGUUUGUCUUGAGUUCGAGAGAGGUAAGUGGAACUGCGAGUGUAGAGGUGAAAUUCGUAGAUAUUCGCAAGAACACCAGUGGCGAAGGCGGCUUACUGGCUCGAAACUGACGCUGAGGCGCGAAAGCGUGGGGAGCAAACAGGAUUAGAGACCCCAGUAGUCCCUGUCUCUUAUAC